rnacentral:tRNA from 1 species
GGGCGUGUAGCUCAGUUGGGAGAGCGCCUGCCUUACAAGCAGGUGGUCUGUGGUUCAAGUCCCUCCGCGGCCACCA